AAGAGGAAAUUAUUUUUAUUUUUCCUUCUACUCGUCUUCCAUCUCUCCGCGAACCCACUUUCUUCAAACCCUUAUCUGAGAGAAUGUUGCUGAAGUGAGAAAUCGAGAUUAGCGGUUACCGAUUCCGCUCCAUGAUGAACACAUUCAUUUGGAUCUUUAACGGUAGUAAAUAAUGUGCCAAAACGUGAUUGGGCUCAACCGGCCGAGAGGCUUUGGUGGUUGCCCUCAUCCUUGGUGAUCUUAACUGGCUGGUUUCUUUAGGCCUUUCAUUGCAACUUAGGUAAAGCUCAUUGCAAGACUUUUGUCCAUUGUGGUGGUUCACUUCUAUCCAUCUUGGUUAUAUUUGCGGGCUGGGAGUUUGGGGCAAACUUGACUUGCACGCAACAUCAAUGUGAACCAAAACUCUUUCAGAGGAGAGGAGUUUGGUGCCUAUUCAGUACAAUAUACCACCAUCAGUUGCUGCUUGUGCUGUCCCCCUCGGGCGUGGAAUUUCAUCUUGAUAGACAAGUGUCUUAUCUGCAUAAAAUACAAAAGUGAUGUUUCCAAGUUGACAAUUGACGCUUGAGAGCACCUGCUCGUGUUGUGUGUUCAACUCAUUGCCUUGUGCUUUGAUGAAGCAUGCAUGGAGGGACUAAGCUCUAUGGAUCAUCUCCCCCAAGGUCUCGAGUUAGAGAGCCAUAGGCUCAAACCCCCACCUUUACGGUCGUCACUUUCACUCAUAUACCAUCAUUAAACCCUAGCUUGCAUGUUAUUUCCUUGAUGACAAGCCUCAGGCCGGCUGAGAGCAUACUGGGCCAUUUUGAACGAAUCUGAACCUUUAAAUAUGUAAUGGAUAUCUAUAGGGCCUGCUAUGUGGAAUGGCUGCUUCUUCUUUCAACCUGAUGACAUGGUCACAUUUCCUCUUAGGAGGUAAACCUUCUGGAGGUAAACCUUUAAAUAUGUGCUGGAAGAUCAUGAAGAAUCAAGGAUUCAAGGUCAAGAGCAGAACAGUUUUGGAGAAAAUUCGCUAAGUCAGGAUUUCCUCGCUGAGGAAAUAUGUGUGUGUUUGGAACAAUUUUUGCAGGCCCUUGCUCGCUAAGGGAGCUACAUUUUAUGCCUAUGAUGAAACAGCAACUUGUUGAGUGAGUUUUUACUCGCUUAUCUAGUGUAACCGCCCAUGCACUAAUAUAAAGGCUUGAAAAAAUAACAGAAUUGGGUAUCUCUUCACAUUUUCCUCCCAUAAACAUAGCAAAUGGGCGGAACAUAAUUAUAAGGGAUCCAAGGGUGAGGUUGGAAGGAUUAAGCUUUGAGGUAUUGGUGGCAACCAUGAGAGACUUGUGACACCUGCUCGAGGCUAUGGAGGCCAUGGACCGUGGAUUCACCACCUUCUCUUGUGUUUCAUCUUUUCCUUUUCCCUUUUGUAUAUGUAUUUUCUAUUUCCAGGAUGUUGUAACUUUCUCUGCAACUUAUUCAAAAUACUCUUUCAUCAAUGUAAUUGGUUUCCUUCACUGUUUGGUUUU